GCAGUCGAACGAUGAAGCCCAGCUUGCUGGGUGGAUUAGUGGCGAACGGGUGAGUAACACGUGAGUAACCUGCCCUUGACUCUGGGAUAAGCGUUGGAAACGACGUCUAAUACCGGAUACGAGCUUCCACCGCAUGGUGAGUUGCUGGAAAGAAUUUUGGUCAAGGAUGGACUCGCGGCCUAUCAGCUUGUUGGUGAGGUAACGGCUCACCAAGGCGACGACGGGUAGCCGGCCUGAGAGGGUGACCGGCCACACUGGGACUGAGACACGGCCCAGACUCCUACGGGAGGCAGCAGUGGGGAAUAUUGCACAAUGGGCGAAAGCCUGAUGCAGCAACGCCGCGUGAGGGACGACGGCCUUCGGGUUGUAAACCUCUUUUAGCAGGGAAGAAGCGAAAGUGACGGUACCUGCAGAAAAAGCACCGGCUAACUACGUGCCAGCAGCCGCGGUAAUACGUAGGGUGCAAGCGUUGUCCGGAAUUAUUGGGCGUAAAGAGCUCGUAGGCGGUUUGUCGCGUCUGCUGUGAAAUCCCGAGGCUCAACCUCGGGUCUGCAGUGGGUACGGGCAGACUAGAGUGCGGUAGGGGAGAUUGGAAUUCCUGGUGUAGCGGUGGAAUGCGCAGAUAUCAGGAGGAACACCGAUGGCGAAGGCAGAUCUCUGGGCCGCUACUGACGCUGAGGAGCGAAAGGGUGGGGAGCAAACAGGCUUAGAUACCCUGGUAGUCCACCCCGUAAACGUUGGGCGCUAGAUGUGGGGACCAUUCCACGGUUUCCGUGUCGUAGCUAACGCAUUAAGCGCCCCGCCUGGGGAGUACGGCCGCAAGGCUAAAACUCAAAGGAAUUGACGGGGGCCCGCACAAGCGGCGGAGCAUGCGGAUUAAUUCGAUGCAACGCGAAGAACCUUACCAAGGCUUGACAUAUACGAGAACGGGCCAGAAAUGGUCAACUCUUUGGACACUCGUAAACAGGUGGUGCAUGGUUGUCGUCAGCUCGUGUCGUGAGAUGUUGGGUUAAGUCCCGCAACGAGCGCAACCCUCGUUCUAUGUUGCCAGCACGUAAUGGUGGGAACUCAUGGGAUACUGCCGGGGUCAACUCGGAGGAAGGUGGGGACGACGUCAAAUCAUCAUGCCCCUUAUGUCUUGGGCUUCACGCAUGCUACAAUGGCCAGUACAAAGGGCUGCAAUACCGUAAGGUGGAGCGAAUCCCAAAAAGCUGGUCCCAGUUCGGAUUGAGGUCUGCAACUCGACCUCAUGAAGUCGGAGUCGCUAGUAAUCGCAGAUCAG
rnacentral:rRNA from 1 species